UGCAAGUCGAACGAACUCUGGUAUUGAUUGGUGCUUGCAUCAUGAUUUACAUUUGAGUGAGUGGCGAACUGGUGAGUAACACGUGGGAAACCUGCCCAGAAGCGGGGGAUAACACCUGGAAACAGAUGCUAAUACCGCAUAACAACUUGGACCGCAUGGUCCGAGCUUGAAAGAUGGCUUCGGCUAUCACUUUUGGAUGGUCCCGCGGCGUAUUAGCUAGAUGGUGGGGUAACGGCUCACCAUGGCAAUGAUACGUAGCCGACCUGAGAGGGUAAUCGGCCACAUUGGGACUGAGACACGGCCCAAACUCCUACGGGAGGCAGCAGUAGGGAAUCUUCCACAAUGGACGAAAGUCUGAUGGAGCAACGCCGCGUGAGUGAAGAAGGGUUUCGGCUCGUAAAACUCUGUUGUUAAAGAAGAACAUAUCUGAGAGUAACUGUUCAGGUAUUGACGGUAUUUAACCAGAAAGCCACGGCUAACUACGUGCCAGCAGCCGCGGUAAUACGUAGGUGGCAAGCGUUGUCCGGAUUUAUUGGGCGUAAAGCGAGCGCAGGCGGUUUUUUAAGUCUGAUGUGAAAGCCUUCGGCUCAACCGAAGAAGUGCAUCGGAAACUGGGAAACUUGAGUGCAGAAGAGGACAGUGGAACUCCAUGUGUAGCGGUGAAAUGCGUAGAUAUAUGGAAGAACACCAGUGGCGAAGGCGGCUGUCUGGUCUGUAACUGACGCUGAGGCUCGAAAGUAUGGGUAGCAAACAGGAUUAGAUACCCUGGUAGUCCAUACCGUAAACGAUGAAUGCUAAGUGUUGGAGGGUUUCCGCCCCUUCAGUGCUGCAGCUAACGCAUUAAGCAUUCCGCCUGGGGAGUACGGCCGCAAGGCUGAAACUCAAAGGAAUUGACGGGGGCCCGCACAAGCGGUGGAGCAUGUGGUUUAAUUCGAAGCUACGCGAAGAACCUUACCAGGUCUUGACAUACUAUGCAAAUCUAAGAGAUUAGACGUUCCCUUCGGGGACAUGGAUACAGGUGGUGCAUGGUUGUCGUCAGCUCGUGUCGUGAGAUGUUGGGUUAAGUCCCGCAACGAGCGCAACCCUUAUUAUCAGUUGCCAGCAUUAAGUUGGGCACUCUGGUGAGACUGCCGGUGACAAACCGGAGGAAGGUGGGGAUGACGUCAAAUCAUCAUGCCCCUUAUGACCUGGGCUACACACGUGCUACAAUGGAUGGUACAACGAGUUGCGAACUCGCGAGAGUAAGCUAAUCUCUUAAAGCCAUUCUCAGUUCGGAUUGUAGGCUGCAACUCGCCUACAUGAAGUCGGAAUCGCUAGUAAUCGCGGAUCAGCAUGCCGCGGUGAAUACGUUCCCGGGCCUUGUACACACCGCCCGUCACACCAUGAGAGUUUGUAACACCCAAAGUCGGUGGGGUAACCUUUUAGGAACCAGCCGCC
rnacentral:rRNA from 1 species